AGUCGAGCGGUAGAGAGAAGCUUGCUUCUCUUGAGAGCGGCGGACGGGUGAGUAAUGCCUAGGAAUCUGCCUGGUAGUGGGGGAUAACGUUCGGAAACGGACGCUAAUACCGCAUACGUCCUACGGGAGAAAGCAGGGGACCUUCGGGCCUUGCGCUAUCAGAUGAGCCUAGGUCGGAUUAGCUAGUUGGUGGGGUAAUGGCUCACCAAGGCGACGAUCCGUAACUGGUCUGAGAGGAUGAUCAGUCACACUGGAACUGAGACACGGUCCAGACUCCUACGGGAGGCAGCAGUGGGGAAUAUUGGACAAUGGGCGAAAGCCUGAUCCAGCCAUGCCGCGUGUGUGAAGAAGGUCUUCGGAUUGUAAAGCACUUUAAGUUGGGAGGAAGGGUUGUAGAUUAAUACUCUGCAAUUUUGACGUUACCGACAGAAUAAGCACCGGCUAACUCUGUGCCAGCAGCCGCGGUAAUACAGAGGGUGCAAGCGUUAAUCGGAAUUACUGGGCGUAAAGCGCGCGUAGGUGGUUUGUUAAGUUGGAUGUGAAAUCCCCGGGCUCAACCUGGGAACUGCAUUCAAAACUGACUGACUAGAGUAUGGUAGAGGGUGGUGGAAUUUCCUGUGUAGCGGUGAAAUGCGUAGAUAUAGGAAGGAACACCAGUGGCGAAGGCGACCACCUGGACUGAUACUGACACUGAGGUGCGAAAGCGUGGGGAGCAAACAGGAUUAGAUACCCUGGUAGUCCACGCCGUAAACGAUGUCAACUAGCCGUUGGGAGCCUUGAGCUCUUAGUGGCGCAGCUAACGCAUUAAGUUGACCGCCUGGGGAGUACGGCCGCAAGGUUAAAACUCAAAUGAAUUGAC
rnacentral:rRNA from 1 species